rnacentral:lncRNA from 1 species
GGAGCACUGGUUUAGGUAAACCUUACAAUCUCAUAACUUCUGGUCUUUUAUGAUGACAACACAUUAUUAAUAACAACAUGUGUUGUUGAGAGUUUAUAUGUGCUAUGUGACACCCGGGCACUGACGAAGGCGGGGAGUGAUCGCCGGUGCAAGAAGCAUGGUGCAUGGGGCACGGACAAGGAGAGGCUCCUGGCAGGCUUCGAGUGGAAGGGGCACAUGGACGAAUCGAACAUACACCGG